rnacentral:tRNA from 1 species
CGCGGGGUNGGAGCAGCCUGGUAGCUCGUCGGGCUCAUAACCCGAAGGUCGUCGGUUCAAAUCCGGCCCCCGCAACCA